GAUGGGGGCGGGGACUGUCCAGUGAUUCCUCCGUGUGAUAGAUGACCAAGUGACUGCAGCCAUGGGGUCUACACACCAGUGCAAGACACUGAGAUUGCUUGUAGCUGAUUUGAUCAAACUCUGCCUUCCUAAACUGGAAUGAAAUGCAGAUAACUCGUUAACAAACUUGUGUGGGGAAAAGUGCCUUGUGUGAUCAGAACAAAGCCGUUUUAUAAUCAGAUUUACCAAGCUGAGAAGAGAGAGUUUCAGCAAAUGGAAGCCUCCGCAUUCUGUCACCAGGAAACACUACGUUAUCCAGAGUCGGUCUGUGGUGGAAUGGACUUUGGGAGUUUCAGGGAUCCAAGCUCAUUCUUGACCAGCCACACACUGGGAAAACCUGUCUAGGGUCACUAUGGCACAGUCCAGCAUCUACAACUAAACUGAGGCCAGAAGAAGAAUGCUGUUGUUAGGAUGUGGUAUGGUCCUUGGUUUGUACUAAGCUUUUUCCAACAAAAUACUUGUUCCUUGAGCCAGUUGAAGAAGUAGAUUCAUUUUCACUGCGUGGCAACUAGCCUCAACCCAUUUAGAAUCAAAUACUUGAUUAUAGGUAAGAACUAUAUACUGCUGUCUUUCUUACAUUCUCUAAAGGUUAUAUAAAACAACUAGUAUCUCCAUUGCCUUUUAUUCAAUACAGUUCAGUCCAAUAAGUCUUAGUUACCUUUUCCAUUUUCUCCUUGUUAUACUAGUAGAAUCCAGAUUUUUCUUUCCUCUUUCUCUUCGCUGAGCAUUGCAUGCUGUAGCUGGCAGCUUUAUCAAAUAGAGUCUGUAAGUAUAAUGAUAUACA